UACGGGAGGCAGCAGUGGGGAAUAUUGCACAAUGGGCGCAAGCCUGAUGCAGCCAUGCCGCGUGUAUGAAGAAGGCCUUCGGGUUGUAAAGUACUUUCAGUCGUGAGGAAGGUGUUAAGGUUAAUAACCUUAGCAAUUGACGUUAGCGACAGAAGAAGCACCGGCUAACUCCGUGCCAGCAGCCGCGGUAAUACGGAGGGUGCGAGCGUUAAUCGGAAUUACUGGGCGUAAAGGGCACGCAGGCGGUUAAUUAAGUUGGAUGUGAAAUCCCCGGGCUUAACCUGGGAAUGGCAUUCAAGACUGGUUAGCUAGAGUCUUGUAGAGGGGGUAGAAUUCCAUGUGUAGCGGUGAAAUGCGUAGAGAUGUGGAGGAAUACCGGUGGCGAAGGCGGCCCCUGGACAAAGGCUGACGCUCAUGUGCGAAAGCGUGGGGAGCAAACGAGGAUUAGAUA
rnacentral:rRNA from 1 species